UUCAUCUCUCCACUCUCUCUAAAACUCUUAUCUCUAUCCGAUAAACUCAGAAACUCCACUCUUCGUCUCUUACUUUUAAUUCAUACAUACAUACUUCUUUGCCAUCCAAAGAGAAUUACGAGAUGGGCAGAGAAAGCAUUGAAGAAGGAGAGCUAUCAACUCCUCUAGUUGCCAGUGGUACUAGUAGUGGUGACCAUGUUUGUGCCAACACUACUGGUUGUGAUGAUGGUGGUGAGAAUCAGAGUGGAUGUGGAUCUUCCUCAGCCACAGGUGUGGUUGUGGUUAGCACUUUGGUUGCUGUCUCUGGUUCCUAUGUUUUUGGCACAGCUGUGGGAUAUUCAUCACCUGCUCAGUCUGGAAUCGUGGAUGACCUGGGUCUUACUGUGGCAGAGUACUCACUUUUUGGUUCAGUAUUGACAAUUGGAGCAAUGAUAGGUGCAAUAGUGAGUGGAUAAAUAGCAGAUUACAUAGGUAGAAGAGGUACAAUGGGCUUUUCAGAGAUAUUCUGCCUGGCAGGGUGGCUAGCCAUAGCAUUCUCAAAGGGUGCUUGGUGGCUUGACCUUGGGAGACUGUUGGUAGGUUGUGGGAUGGGACUCCUUUCCUAUGUGGUACCUAUAUAUAUAGCAGAAAUAACACCUAAGAAUCUUCGGGGAGGGUUUACAACUGUUCAUCAGUUGAUGAUUUGUUGUGGGGUAUCGUUAACAUAUCUAAUUGGAGCUUUUGUGAACUGGCGAACUUUGGCUCUGAUUGGAACAAUACCAUGUCUAGUACAACUUCUUGGUCUAUUCUUCAUUCUAGAAUCUCCAAGAUGGCUGGCAAAAAUUGGUCGAAAGAAAGAGUGUGAAGUUGCUCUACAGCACCUUAGGGGGCAGAAUGCUGAUAUUACUCUAGAAGCUACUGAGAUUAGAGAGUACACAGAAACCCUUCAACGGCUUUCUGAAGCUAGAAUUCUUGACUUAUUUCAAUGGAAAUAUGCUCAUUCAUUUAUUGUUGGAGUUGGCCUGAUGGUACUACAACAAUUUGGAGGAGUCAAUGGAAUUGCAUUUUAUGCAAGUGCUAUAUUCAUAACAGCUGGUUUUUCGGGUAGUAUUGGGAUCAUAGCAAUGGUCAUUGUUCAGAUUCCAAUGACGGCAUUAGGGGUAAUUUUGAUGGAUAAAUCUGGAAGGCGGCCACUUCUAUUGGUUUCUGCAGCAGGAACAUACUUAGGUUGCUUGCUUGUGGGAUUGUCAUUCUUCUUGCAGGAUCUUCAAACAACGCCAAUUUUAGCACUUGUUGGUGUACUGGUGUACCCAGGAUCUUUCUCAUUAGGCAUGGGAGGAAUUCCUUGGGUUAUAAUGUCAGAGAUAUUUCCCAUAAACAUGAAGGGCUCAGCUGGAAGCCUUGUUACAUUGGUUAGCUGGUUAGGUUCUUGGAUUGUAUCAUAUGCUUUUAACUUUCUAAUGGAUUGGAGCUCAGCAGGAACAUUCUUCACAUUCUCAAGCAUAUGUGGCUUAACUGUUUUGUUCGUAGCAAAGUUGGUACCAGAGACCAAGGGGCGAACACUUGAAGAAAUUCAAGCAUCAUUGAAUCCAUUUUCAGCAAAAAAAUGAAUUUUGCAUGCCUGUACGACAGCACCAAUCCAUGUUCGAAUAAGCAAAAUAAUUUCUAAAACAUCAACUCCAUAAAAUUGUGGCACUGAGUGCUAGACUAAUUGGUGACUGGCUGUCACAAUAAGCAAGGUUUUUUCCAAAAGUCAAGAUCAUCCAAGAAUUAUUUUCUAAAACUGAUGUGGGAUUGAUAACCAUAGCUUGAAACUCUGCAUUGCACUUGGAGAGAAACUACCUAUUCACCUCCUAAUUUAGGGAGUGUGAAAGGUAAAUCUUGAAUUUUUAAACAUUUAGAGACCAUUUGGCUUGUGGAAUCUUUCUUUCCUGAAAUCAUAUCCAUAGAAAUAUAGAAUU